UACGUAGGGUGCGAGCGUUGUCCGGAAUUACUGGGCGUAAAGAGCUCGUAGGUGGUUUGUCGCGUUGUUCGUGAAAACUCACAGCUCAACUGUGGGCGUGCGGGCGAUACGGGCAGACUGGAGUACUGCAGGGGAGACUGGAAUUCCUGGUGUAGCGGUGGAAUGCGCAGAUAUCAGGAGGAACACCGGUGGCGAAGGCGGGUCUCUGGGCAGUUCCUGACGCUGAGGCACGAAGGCCAGGGGAGCAAACGGG
rnacentral:rRNA from 1 species